rnacentral:rRNA from 1 species
AAUUAGCGUAUAAAAUCAAGCCAGACUUUACUAAUAUUAUUAGGUAGAAUUUUAAUCUAAGAUAAUUAUGGUAUAUAAAUACGUUUUAACUAUAAUAGGGACCAGGAUUAGAUACCCUGUUACUUAUAAGUAAAUAUUUUUGGAACAGUAAAAGUAAUGAAAUUUAACGGAUUUGGCGGCAAGAUAGCCAUUUAGAGGAACCUGCCCUAUAAACGAUGAGCCACGAAUAACCUUACUCUUUUUAGUUACUCAGUUUGUAUACCGCUGUUGUCAGUUAGUUUCUUUAGAAAACUUUCGUUUAUGAUAUAUUCAAUGACUUCAAGUAAAGGUGCAGCUUAUAGAAGAGACAGAGGUGGGUUACAAUUAACAGAAUAAAACGGAUAAAGUUUUUGAAACAACUUUUGAAGGUGGAUUUAAAAGUAAGAUUUUAUGAAGUCUGAUGAGAGCUCUAUCUUGUGUACACACCGCCCGUCGCUCUCUUUUUUAAAC